GACGAACGCUGGCGGCGUGCUUAACACAUGCAAGUCGAACGGAAAGGCCCUGCUUUUGUGGGGUGCUCGAGUGGCGAACGGGUGAGUAACACGUGAGUAACCUGCCCUUGACUUUGGGAUAACUUCAGGAAACUGGGGCUAAUACCGGAUAGGAGCUCCUGCUGCAUGGUGGGGGUUGGAAAGUUUCGGCGGUUGGGGAUGGACUCGCGGCUUAUCAGCUUGUUGGUGGGGUAGUGGCUUACCAAGGCUUUGACGGGUAGCCGGCCUGAGAGGGUGACCGGCCACAUUGGGACUGAGAUACAGCCCAGACUCCUACGGGAGGCAGGAGUGGGGAAUAUUGCACAAUGGGCGGAAGCCUGAUGCAGCAACGCCGCGUGCGGGAUGACGGCCUUCGUGUUGUAAACCGCUUUCGCCUGUGACGAAGCGUGAGUGACGGUAAUGGGGAAAGAAGCACCGGCAAACUACGU
rnacentral:rRNA from 1 species